UGCUGCCACGUAUUCGAUCUCACUAAUCUCAACCGCCAUGAUUCCUCCUAUUCGUUUUGUUGUGUUUCACCUUUUUUCUUUCCUCUCUUCUUGUGGAUGCUCUCUUUCACUGGACUCUUAACAAUAGCAAUUGACAGGAGAGCUUUUCUUACUCAUUGUACUCCUCCUGAAUCUCCGCACUCUCACUUUGUCUUCGUUCUCCCUGGUUGUGUUACUGGAGAGAUUGGUGCAACAACAUUACUUUGAUCAUAAGUGGAAAGAGGAGGGUCAAAUGAUUGAAUAUUUGGAGUGAGUUUUGUUUAAAGGCUGGUCUUUGAAUUUAUCUUUUUAAAAAUAGAUUCGAAUUAUUCAGCAACUCACCAACUACUCCUCGUUGGAAUUCAAAUACUUGAUUUCACCAGAUGCGUAGGAGAUGAAAAACAUACCUCAUUGGAAUUCCGGACUUCUACACACAAUGCACUAAUCAAUCAAUUUGACAUAAAUCAUACACUGCAUUCUGCAUCCAUUAUUAAAGGUUAGAUUAUAAAGUGAGCUGCUGAAUAUAAAUUGGGCAUUAUAUAUGGUUGGGAAGCAAAACAGCUAGAGCAUGUUCACUUAAAUGAAAUAAUGAUAUAAACCGCAGAAAGGUUUACAAUGAUAUAAACCAUGAUAUAUUGUUGGUGUGUUAACAUUUUGUUGUUUAAAAAAUCGUAGGAAGGAGGUAAGUUUGUGGGAACUCUUAACAUUAGACUUGAUCUCACGAGGAAACUUCUCUUUUUCCUGGAACACGUUGAAACAAUCGCUAACUGAUGUACCCGGGUACAGCCAGCUCUAGCUGUACCCCCCAAAAACGACGCGCUCAUAUUGUUUGUUCAUUCUUGUCGACUGUUUGUUCUUUUUUAUUGUACUGUUUGUUCAUCCUUAUUGUACUGUUUGUUCUUUCUUGUUGUACUGUUUGUUCUUUCUAGUUGUACUGUUUGUUAUUUCAUGUUGUUUUUUAAAUUCAUCAUCAAAUUUUCAUAAUUGUUGUAUUUUUUGUUCUUUCUUCUGGAAUUUUAUGUUCUUUUUUAUAUUGUUUG